AACGACGGAAGGAAGGAGAGCAGAAGUAAUGGCGGCCUUUCCAGUCUUCUUAAUCCCUGACCCAACAUAGUGCAUGUGAGGAAGGAAGCAAGGUGGCUGAGAGAUGGAGCCACAGCUUGGCCGGCAGAAAAGUCCCAUCACAUGCCGAGUGACUGGAGACACCCACCCAAAACCCGGGAGGCUUUCUGUUGCCUUCAAGUCUUGUCCGACUUAGAAAGACCCUAAUAGGAUUCUCAAGAUCCUUUCCGACCAAGAAAACGAGCAUCUCGGUGGGAAGAGUUUUGUUCUUGUGUUUAUCCCUGAAACACUGACCUACUGAGUGAAGGCGGUCAAUUGGCUGGGGCCUUUGAAGAGCGGUGAGGCAGGCGGAGCUCUGCCAGAUCCGAGUAAACCUAUUUGGGUCCUCCCUUCCUUCACCAAAUGGAAAUUUUGCGAGAUGUAGUCAAGGAAAAGAGGGCCGUGCCCCUCAGAGACACUGCUGGUCACGACUGGACACGCCUUGUGCGGGGACGGUGAGAAUGAGCAGGAUCAGGCCUUUCCUGUCCUGGGAUGACCCUGCAGCUGACAGACUUGGCUGUCCUUGAGUCACCUUCCAGCUUUUCUUCCCUACGGCCGUGACAAAACAGGCAGCAUUCUCUCGGCACUGGAAUUGAAAAUAUUGCAGUUGGAAACAUUGAAAGUUUCAGACUGAACAAUUCUGGAAGCGUUUGCUGUUUUCCUAGCGUCGCUUAUUCCAACAUUCACAGCCCACUGGCUGCUUUCCCUUCGGUCUUGUUUUGGAAAAGCCCGUGACUCUGCUUUUCCUCUCUGUCCGGGACAGAAUGAACUUUCUUAAGAAUC